UACGUAGGGGGCAAGCGUUGUCCGGAAUCAUUGGGCGUAAAGCGCGCGUAGGCGGCCCGGUAAGUCCGCUGUGAAAGUCCAAGGCUCAACCCUGGAAAGCCGGUGGAUACUGCCGGGCUAGAGUCCGGAAGAGGCGAGUGGAAUUCCUGGUGUAGCGGUGGAAUGCGCAGAUAUCAGGAGGAACACCAAUAGCGAAGGCAGCUCGCUGGGACGGUACUGACGCUGAGGCGCGAAAGCGUGGGGAGCGAACAGG
rnacentral:rRNA from 1 species